CUGGGAAAAGCAGUAGAUACUAUCUGUGCUAGAGGGUGGAAGAGAGAAGUGGAAUUCUUGAGUAGCGGUAAAAUCGUAGAUCUCAAGAGGACACCGAUGGCGAAGGCAGCUUCUUGGUCCAUUCUGACGCUAUGCACGAAAGCGUGGGGAGCAAACAGGAUUAGAUACCCUGGUAGUCCACGCUGUAAACGAUGAUCACUGGACGUUAUCUUUCUUGCAAGGAUAGUGUCGUAGCUAACGCGUUAAGUGAUCCGCCUGGGAAGUACGGUCGCAAGAUUAAAAACUUAAAGGAAUUGACGGGGGUCCGCACAAGCGGUGGAACAUGUGGUUUAAUUCGACACUACGCGAGGAACCUUACCUAGGUUUGACAUGUAUAUGACCGCUGCAGAGACGCAGUUUUCUAGGGUUUACUCUAGACAUAUACACAGGUGCUGCAUGGCUGUCGUCAGCUCGUGUCGUGAGAUGUUGGGUUAAGUCCUAUAACGAGCGCAACCCUUGCCAUCAGUUGCGAUCUCGCAAGAGAGCACUCUGAUGGGGCUGCCUGGGAAACCAGGAGGAAGGUGGGGAUGAUGUCAAGUCAGCAUGGUCCUUAUGCCUAGGGCCACACACGUGUUACAAUGGCCAAUACAAAGGGCUGCAAAACCGUAAGGUGAAGCUAAUCCCAUAAAGUUGGUCUAAGUUCGGAUUGAGGUCUGCAACUCGACCUCAUGAAGUUGAAAUCGCUAGUAAUCGCAUAUCAGAACGAUGCGGUGAAUACGUUCUCGGACCUUGUACACCCUGCCCGUCACAUCAUGAAAGCUGUUUGUACCCGAAAUCAUUUUAGCUAACUCGUAAGAGGGGCGGAUGCUGAAGGUAUGGGGAGUGAUUGGGAUGAAGUCGUAACAAGGUAACCA
rnacentral:rRNA from 1 species